AAUCCUCUCGUCCCCGGACUCCCCGGGCGGCGAGGAGUUGGACCGUGCCGUCGUCGGCUCGUCCCGAAACGCAUUAGCCCGACCCCGAUCGGCCCGUCCGGUGUGAUAGACAUCUACGCCGUCGGGUCCGCUCGACCCGGGCUUCCAAAGAAAAACCCCCCAUUUUUAACG
rnacentral:misc_RNA from 1 species